UCCACUGGGCGCGUCUGCGCUGCGUUCUGGAGGAGGAAUUACGUCACGUACUUUGUCACGUAUGUAACCAGUGAAGUAACGUAACAAAUGUCCAUGAUUUUAACCCUAACCACGAGGUUUUUCUUUUUUUUCCUCCAUGGUUUAUUUAUUAGUAUCAAUGUAGAACAGUCCAGAAUAACAACAAAAGUACAUACAUAAAUGAAUACUUAAAUGAGAUAAGCAACUAAAUAAAGUAUCAGAGGGAUGAUAAAGGUCAGGAGCAAUUACAUCGAGAUGGCGGUCUCAGGUUUCUCAAACUAACCACGAUGUUUUUCUAAACUUAACCAAGUACUUUAGAUGCCAAAAACCUAACUAAACAGCGAGCAUUUCACACGUUUUUACGUAGGGUAUUUCUGGGGAGUUUUCUGUGUGUGUGUGCGUGUGUGUUCCUUGAGGAUGUUUACAUUCCUCGACCCCUGAUCCUAAACUUGGGUUCAAUCCCCUCAGUUUGCAAAAAGGACUAUAGCUCUCAUCUGGAAGAAAAUGGAGGCACCUACAAUUGGUGCUUAGAUCAAAAAUAUGGCGCAAUGUAUGUCCACAGAGAGACUGACAUAUUUAGAGGCAAAUUGGGGGUGUAUGAGAAAAUCUGGAGAACAUUUGACCGGUUUGUAAAAGGAGAAGACAUAGGGGAGCUGCUACUGUGAUACGGUCAUAUCAUUUGCUUUUUGAUUGCUGU